rnacentral:tRNA from 1 species
GCACCCUUAGCUCAACUGGAUAGAGUACCUGACUACGAAUCAGGCGGUUAGAGGGUCGACUCCUCUUGGGUGCA